UUUAGGCCCUUAAGAUUUUAUUUUAGGAUUUUUCUUUCAAGUCGGUGUUUUGUUCAUGUAAUCUUUAUGACUCUAUAAAGACUAUAUGGAGUAUUUAUGUUGAAAUAUCUCUGGUAUGUACUGAAUGUGUUUAUAUGUCAUUGGCAUAUCUCUGUGAUGUUGUGCAGGGUACACUGGUGGAGGGAGCAGUCGGCCCCCCAGGACAGGAGGGUAUUCCAGGUGGACCAGGACCAAUGGGCCCCCGAGGACCCAGUGGAGACCCAGGUGAUUUGGUGAGUAUCCUCACCCGUGGAGUAUUGACCCAUAGUGGACUGUCCUCUGGGACAGUAUGACCACAGUUAGGGUCCACAGGAACUGUCCUCUGGGACAGUAUGACCACAGUCAGGGUCCACAGGGACUGUCCUCUGGGACAGUAUGACCAUAGUCAGGGUCCACAGGGACUGUCCUCUGGGACAGUAUGACCACAGUCAGGAUCCAUAGGGACUGUCCUCUGGGACAGUAUGACCACAGUUAGGGUCCACAGGGACUGUCCUCUGGGACAGUAUGACCACAGUCAGGGUCCACAGGGACUGUCCUCUGGGACAGUAUGACCAUAGUCAGGGUCCACAGGGACUGUCCUCUGGGACAGUAUGACCACAGUCAGGGUCCACAGGGACUGUCCUCUGGGACAGUAUGACCACAGUCAGGAUCCAUAGGGACUGUCCUCUGGGACAGUAUGACCACAGUCAGGGUCCACAGGGACUGUCCUCUGGGACAGUAUGACCAUAGUCAGGGUCCACAGGGACUGUCCUCUGGGACAGUAUGACCACAGUCAGGAUCCAUAGGGACUGUUCUCUGGGACAGUAUGACCACAGUUAGGGUCCACAGGGACUGUCCUCUGGGACAGUAUGACCACAGUCAGGGUCCACAGGGACUGUCCUCUGGGACAGUAUGACCACAGUCAGGAUCCAUAGGGACUGUCCUCUGGGACAGUAUGACCACAGUUAGGGUCCACAGGGACUGUCCUCUGGGACAGUAUGACCACAGUCAGGGUCCACAGGGACUGUCCUCUGGGACAGUAUGACCAUAGUCAGGGUCCACAGGGACUGUCCUCUGGGUUUGACCGUAACCAAAGAUUGACCACAGCCUACACAAACAGGUCAGGGAUGCUGUGACCUCACUGUGGUCUUGACCGUGACCUUCCUGGGCUUAAGGGACUAAAGGACUGGUGAUGACUCAUGUGUGGGUUCGACCUAAUUCUCUCUGUUGGACUGUGUGUGUGUGUGUGUGUGUAUGUGCGUGCCUUUGUGUGUUUGUGUUCCCUCCCUGAAAACCGCCUCGCUCCCACAGACACAAACCAACAGAUGCUCAGUCGUCUCUAGUGGUCUAAAGGAUUUUUAAUGAUGUUGUUGUAGUUGAAAAACGUGGAGGUCUUCUAGGUUUCACCUCAAAUCAAACACAUCAAAUCAGAUCAUCAAACAAACUCUUUCUUCUUUCAAAGCAGAUCAGAAACAAAUGUAUAAACAGUGUUCCAUAAUCCUGCCUAUUUACAAUAUUUCAUCUUCAUUGUUUGUUAUGCCUUACAGUAUACAACAGUAUUCUCAGUGUGACAGAUACUGCAAUAAAGGUUCCUAUUGAGCCUUUGUCUCUGCUGCAGAGAGACUAGGUGAUUGUCAGUUUGGGAUUAGCUCUAAUUCUUUAUGAGGUGCUUAUGGGUACAUUAGGCUUCUGAUAGGGGCAUCAAGCGGAAAAUCAUCAACUGUUUCCCCUCCUCUCUAGAGACAAGCGAAUUGAUAUGAAACAAAGAGUGAGUGACAUGCCCUCUGGAACUGAAGCAGAGGUUGUUUUAACAGAGAUUGGAUUUCAGGGAUCAUUCUCAUGUGUUUAGCCUUACGUCCACAUUGGAACACUCCCACUGUACAUACUUGUGUUUACAGCCCUGUAUUGUACAUACUUGUGUUUACAGGCCUGUACUGGACAUACUUGUGUUUACAGGCCUGUAUUGUACAUACUUGUGUUUACUGCCCUGUAUUGUACAUACUUGUGUUUACAGGCCUAUAAUGUACAUACUUGUGUUUACAGGCCUGUACUGGACAUACUUGUGUUUACAGGCCUGUACUGGACAUACUUGUGUUUACAGGCCUGUAUUGUACAUACUUGUGUUUACAGGCCUGUAUUGUACAUACUUGUGUUGUUCACUGUAUAAACCCUCAUACAGUCACGACUAGUAUCCUCCUCCCUCCCUCUCUCUCUCCCUUUGUCUCUCUCAGGGUCCUCCAGGACGUCCUGGUUUAGCUGGGGUUGAUGGGAUACCUGGUCCUCCAGGAACAAUGCUGAUGUUACCAGUAAGAAUUAGAUAAAACUCUCAUUAUUUAAACUUCCUUCAGCUGAACACACUCUCAUUUUCAGUUCCCAUUGACUGUGGCUGAAUCCCAAAUCACUCCCUUCCCCUCUGCCCACAAUUUGAGCAUUCACGCGCGCCUCCCCCAUUUGCACAAGUGUCCAAUAGCUGAGGGAGAGAAAAUGAUCGAAGGUGUAGGGGCUAAUUAGACCCUCAGAUAGCAGGGCUGCAGACUUUACUAUCCUGACAAGCACUGAAAUAUUUUUGUAGCUUGUGCAAUUUCAUACGAAAGAGAUGUGCCUGAUUAUAUGCCACAUGCACUUUUUUUGUCUGAUUUUGAGACUUGACACAAAUACCUCAAAAUUAAAUAUUUAACUCUUACUGAGGUUUAUAUCUUGUAAAACGACAGGAGGGAUUUGUUCAUUUGAAUUUCAUGCUGUUUUAUUAUUUAAAAGUGAAACAUGAGUUUCAGGUCAAGAGUGUGCCCAGGGAGAGCCCUCCGAGGGAGUUGGUAGGGGUGUGGGGGGUGGUUUUUGGGGAUUCCCCAUAUGUGAAGCUGUCCUGAGGGAGGGCAGUGACAGCUCUGAGCCACUAGGUGGAGCUGUGAGAUUGAAUGCUGAUGAGGCCAGGUGAAAUCUACAUUGUGUAUUCCCAUAGACUUAUACUGCGUGUAUUUAGGUUGAUCAC
rnacentral:lncRNA from 1 species